GAGGAGGAACCGGCUUACUUAAAGAGGCGACGGCGGGAGGUUGCCUGGCAACAGCGGGCGGCGGCCGUUAGCGCCGUGAGGGGAGAGCGCCGCCAUUGCGCUUCAGCGGGGCCGGACCCGAGAAUAGCCCCUGUUUGGCGGCCCUUACACCGAGGAAAAUGUCUGAAGUUUCUGGAGUCAUGGCUAAUGCUGAGAUCAAACCAAAAUUUACACAUCGUGCCAAGAAAUGGUCGGAUGGUGUAGAGAACUUAUACAGAUUCCAGCAAGCUGGCUACAGAGAUGAGAUUGAAUAUAAACAAGUGAAACAAGUUGAUAUGUGACAUCAGCCCUGCAGAAGCUGUCCGUGUGCAUGCUACUCAGAUGCUUGGAGAACUCGAGUUGAGAAUUUGCAUUUACCUCAAGUCUGAAGCACAGCAGGCUCUCGAGCAGCACUUGGGAGGGUGGCUGGUGAACGUCUGCUGUCAGGAGAGUUCCAGUUGGCACCAAGAAACUCCUGCAAUGUAACUUUGAACAAACAUCACCAUUUGUACAAAUACUCUGUGCAGCCAGUGUUUUUCAUGUCUCAUUGCUGGGAUAGAGUAUCUGCUAGCUGAUGCUUUUGUGCCUCUUUUCCCUCCAUAUUCUCUGCCUUUACAGCACUCCACACUCAUAGAUCCCUCAAAAACCAUGUCUGAUGCCCUCUACCCAUCUUUGGCUCAGACCUCAAGUCGUCUUCUGCUCACCAGCUGGUGCAGCUUGAUGUUUCCUAGCACAUUACAUGCACAUGGGACUACAUAAGGAAAUACAGACACAUCCUGGUUGCUGCGGGUGCCGGCACUUACACCCAGAGAGAAGCAUGUACAUCACCAUCUCUCUGGUGCUGGCACCCAGACCUGUGGUCCCUGUCACCCAUGGCCCCUUCUCCAGGGGCUGGCACACAGGAUAGAUGGUGAGAUGACACUGAGGACGUAACUCAGAAUGGGGUUUAAGAAGAAGACAGGCCAGACUUGCAGGGGAACGUCCUGCCCAACAGCCAUCUCAUGUAUCUCAGCACUCCAACCUUCCUCCUUGCUGUCUGCCCAUACUUUUCCACCCUGGUCCUUCCCCUACACAUCCCAUUGUAAGUUUCAUGCAGUCCACCAAGCUCCCUCACACUUAAUACUCACACUAAUUAUGUUUCCUCCUUCUUAUCAGUUACAAAAUCCAGGCUGACCCUCUCCAAGGCUGAAGUAGUUCUUUUAAUGGCCCAUUGCUCAGUGCCUGAUGAGCUCUGGCCUCCCUUCAUCUCUCGUCACCUGCUCGUUAAUGUUUGAGUGUCUGUGUGUUUAAUUCAGUGUUUUCCUCAUUAUUUGUUAUUUCUAUGAUAUAGAGUAAUCCUUCACCAAA